rnacentral:rRNA from 1 species
UACGGAGGAUCCGAGCGUUAUCCGGAUUUAUUGGGUUUAAAGGGUGCGUAGGCGGCCUGUUAAGUCAGCGGUUAAACUGCGGUGCUCAACGCCGUAUUGCCGUUGAAACUGGUAGGCUUGAUUAUGCUCGAGGUCUGCGGAAUUCGUUGUGUAGCGGUGAAAUGCAUAGAUAUGACGAAGAACACCGAUUGCGUAGGCAGCGGACCAGGGCGUUAAUGACGCUGAGGCACGAAAGUGCGGGGAUCGAACAGG